UCUCACUCACACACUGACGAACGCAUGGCGACGUGCAUUAUACAUGCAAGUAGAACGCUCGAAGGAGUGAGCUUGCUCUUCUGGAAGUUGCGAACGGGUGAGUAACGCGUAAUGUAACCUGACCUGGUAGCGGGGUGAUAACUAUUGGAAACGAUAGCUAAUACCGCAUAACAGUAGAUGUUGCAUGACAUUUGCUUAAAAUGUGCAAUUGCAUCACUACCAGAUGGACCUGCGUUGUAUUCGCUAGUUGGUGGGGUAACAGGCUACACAAUGCGACGAUACAUAGCCGAACAUAGAGAGGAUAGAUCGGACAACACUGGGACAUGAAACACGGACCAAGACUCCUAACAGGGACGGAAGAAGUAAGGCAUCUAUAGUGACAUGGACGCAAGUCUGACCG
rnacentral:rRNA from 1 species